rnacentral:rRNA from 1 species
CCUACGGGAGGCAGCAGUGGGGAAUAUUGCACAAUGGGCGAAAGCCUGAUGCAGCAACGCCGCGUGAGCGAUGAAGGCCUUCGGGUCGUAAAGCUCUGUCCUCAAGGAAGAUAAUGACGGUACUUGAGGAGGAAGACCCGGCUAACUACGUGACAGCAGCCGCGGUAAUACGUAGGGGGCUAGCGUUAUCUGGAAUUACUGGGCGUAAGGGGUGCGUAGGUGGUUUCUUAAGUCAGAGGUGAAAGGCUACGGCUCAACCGUAGUAAGCCUUUGAAACUGGGGAACUUGAGUGCAGGAGAGGAGAGUGGAAUUCCUAGUGUAGCGGUGAAAUGCGUAGAUAUUAGGAGGAACACCAGUGGCGAAGGCGGCUCUCUGGACUGUAACUGACACUGAGGCACGAAAGCGUGGGGAGCAAACAGGAUUAGAUACCCCAGUAGUC